CCAACUGUCUCUUAUAGUGAAUCAAUUAAACUGAUCUCCUAGUAAAAAAGCUAGAAUUACAACAUAAGACCAGAAGACCCUGUGAAGCUUAAAUAAAACUAUUAAACCAUAUAAUAGCUACUUUCGGUUGGGGCGACCUUGGAAAAAAAAAGAACUUCCAAAUAAAAUGAAUAUACCUCAUUAUCUAAACAGGCCAACAAGCCAAAAACGACCCAGCACAGCUGAUAAUUGAACCAAGUUACUCCAGGGAUAACAGCGCAAUCUUCUUCAAGAGCCCAUAUCAAAAAGAAGGUUUACGACCUCGAUGUUGGAUCAGGACAUCCUAAUGGUGCAGCCGCUAUUAAGGGUUCGUUUGUUCAACGAUUAAUA
rnacentral:rRNA from 1 species